UACGGAGGGAGCUAGCGUUGUUCGGAAUUACUGGGCGUAAAGCGCACGUAGGCGGCUAUUCAAGUCGGGGGUGAAAGCCCGGGGCUCAACCCCGGAACUGCCCUCGAAACUAGAUAGCUAGAAUCUUGGAGAGGCGAGUGGAAUUCCGAGUGUAGAGGUGAAAUUCGUAGAUAUUCGGAAGAACACCAGUGGCGAAGGCGACUUACUGGACACAUAUUGACGCUGAGGUGCGAAAGCGUGGGGAGCAAACAGG
rnacentral:rRNA from 1 species